CAGUCCUCAUAGUUGUCUCUCUUCUUGGUUACAGAAGAUGCCACUGCUGGUCCUGCACAACCUACUGAGGACCCUGCGAGCUUGCAAUCUGAUGCACCCCAAGAGACAACCAUAGCAGCCCAGACUUCAGCGGCAGCCCAGGACACUUCGGUGGCACCCGAGGAGCCAACCACCGAGCAAAGAAAAAAUCUCCUGGAAUCCGUGAUAGAGAAAGGUAGAUCGGACCUAAAAGGUGUCAUUGCAGGAGCAAAAAAAACGGUGGACGAAAGAAUUCAAAACGCUAAAGAUGCUCUGAAGAAGAGGUUGGGUCCAAUCAUAUCUAUCAUUUGAGAAGCUAUAAAGAAUGGGAUCUGGGAAUUUAACGCCUUAAUCAUGUGUAUGGCUCAGAGCAAUUAAAUUGAAAGCAUUCAA